GAUGAACGCUGGCGGCGUGCCUAAUACAUGCAAGUCGAGCGAACGGACGAGAAGCUUGCUUCUCUGAUGUUAGCGGCGGACGGGUGAGUAACACGUGGAUAACCUACCUAUAAGACUGGGAUAACUUCGGGGAACCGGAGCUAAUACCGGAUAAUAUUUUGAACCGCAUGGUUCAAAAGUGAAAGACGGUCUUGCUGUCACUUAUAGAUGGAUCCGCGCUGCAUUAGCUAGUUGGUAAGGUAACGGCUUACCAAGGCAACGAUGCAUAGCCGACCUGAGAGGGUGAUCGGCCACACUGGAACUGAGACACGGUCCAGACUCCGACGGGAGGCAGCAGUAGGGAAGCUUCCGCAAUGGGCGAAAGCCUGACGGAGCAACGCCGCGUGAGUGAUGAAGGUCUUCGGAUCGUAAAACUCUGUUAUUAGGGAAGAACAUAUGUGUAAGUAACUGUGCACAUCUGGGCGGUACCGAAUCAGAAAGCCACGGCUAACUACGU
rnacentral:rRNA from 1 species